rnacentral:misc_RNA from 1 species
GAUGAAGAACGCAGCGAAAUGCGAUAAGUAAUGUGAAUUGUAGAAUUCAGUGAAUCAUCGAAUCUUUGAACGCACCUUGCGCUCCUUGGUAUUCCGAGGAGCAUGCCUGUUUGAGUGUCAUUAAUAUAUCAACCUUCUCUUUUUUGAGUUGUUUGGAUGUGGGGGUUUGCUGGCCUCUUAAAUGAUUCAGCUCCCCUGAAAUGCAUUAGCAGAACAACCUGUUCAUUAGCGUGAUAAUUAUCUAUGCUAUUGAAUGUGAGGGCAGUUCAGCUUUCUAACCGUCCUUGGACAAUUCAUCAUUAAUGUGACCUCAAAUCAGGUAGGACUACCCGCUGAACUUAAGCAUAUCAAUAAGCGGAGGA